GCAGAGGAGCCCAGCCCUGGAGUCCCAGGUGUUUCCUUUCGGGGAUCGGGACUGAGCACAGACAGCCCACAAUGGAGCUUGCGCUGAGAUGGGUUUUCCUUGUUGCUGUUUUAAAAGGUGUCCAGGCUGAGGUGCAGCUGGUGGAGUCUGGGGGAGGCUUGGUGCAACCUGAGGGGUCCCUGAGACUCUCCUGCGUGACCUCGGGAUUCACCUUUAGCAAUUACUACAUGCACUGGAUCUGCCAGGCUCCAGGAAAGGGCCUAGAGUGGGUUGGUUUAAUCAGAAACGCGGCUAAGAGUCACACUAC